rnacentral:ncRNA from 2 species
GUGUAGAAUAGAGUCAAUAUUCGUAUAUCAUCGAUGAUAAGGAUCGAAAGUCUCUACCCUAAAACCGUAAAUUUUAGGACUACGAAGUAUGUAAAUAGAAGG